UACAGAGGGUGCGAGCGUUGUCCGGAAUCACUGGGCGUAAAGCGCACGCAGGUGGCUGAGUCAGUCGAUUGUGAAAGCCCUGGGCUUAACCUGGGAAUUGCAGUCGAUACUACUCAGCUAGAGUAUGGGAGAGGGUAGUGGAAUUCCCGGUGUAGCGGUGAAAUGCGUAGAUAUCGGGAGGAACAUCAGUGGCGAAGGCGGCUACCUGGCCCAAUACUGACACUCAGGUGCGACAGCGUGGGGAGCAAACAGG
rnacentral:rRNA from 1 species